UUCUUUAAGUAGAUUUAAAGUAGGCCCUGCCCACUGCGUAAGUAAAGGGCCGCAUUAGCCUGAGUGUGCUAAGGUAGCGCGAUAAUUUGCCUUUUAAUUGGAGGCUGGUAUGAAAGGGUUGACGUGGGGGAUUCUGUGUCGGAUGAAUGUAAUUGAAGUUAAUUUUAAGGUGAAGAAGCCUUAAUACCCUAGAAGGACGAUAAGACCCUAGAAGCUUCGUUUUUUAUUUUGUAAUUUAGUUUUGUUGGGGCAACAGGGCUAGUAACUAUGGCUCUUAGGUUAGACUUUCCUACUGGAGUGAGACUGCUGAGGUAUGAGUGGUUAAGUUACUUUAGGGAUAACAGCGUUAUUUCUUUUGAUAGUUCGUAUUGGAAAAGAAGUUUGCGACCUCGAUGUUGAAUUAAGGUGUCCUUUAGUUGUAGGAGACUAAAAAGGUUGGUCUGUUCGCCCAUUAAAACCUU
rnacentral:rRNA from 1 species